rnacentral:rRNA from 1 species
GGGAUUGCCUCAGUAACGGCGAGUGAAGCGGCAUCAGCUCAGAUUUGAAAUCUGGCCCCAUCGGGGUCCGAGUUGUAAUCUGUAGAGAGUGCUUCGGGUGAGACCACGGUCUAAGUCCAUUGGAACAUGGCGUCACAGAGGGUGAGAAUCCCGUAUGUGACUGUGGCUCGAGCCCAUGUGAAGCCUCUUCGACGAGUCGAGUUGUUUGGGAAUGCAGCUCAAAAUGGGUGGUAAAUUUCAUCUAAAGCUAAAUACUGGCUGGAGACCGAUAGCGCACAAGUAGAGUGAUCGAAAGAUGAAAAGCACUUUGGAAAGAGAGUCAAACAGUACGUGAAAUUGUUGAAAGGGAAGCGCUGGCAACCAGACCUGUCCGUAGGCGAUCAGCCGCUGUUUUCAGUGGUGCACUCGCUCUACGAUCAGGCCAGCAUCGGUUCUGGCGGUCGGAUAAAGGCCUUGGGAAUGUAGCUUCCUCUCGGGGGAGUCUUAUAGCCCUCGGUGCAAUGCGGCCAGCCGGGACCGAGGACCGCGCUUCGGCUAGGAUGCUGGCGUAAUGGUUGUCAGCGACCCGUCUUGAAACACGGACCAAGGAGUCUAACAUCUAUGCGAGUGUUUGGGUGUCAAACCCAUGCGCGGAAUGAAAGUGAACGGAGGUGAGAACCCUUAAGGGCGCAUCAUCGACCGAUCCAGAUGUCUUCGGAUGGAUUUGAGUAUGAGCAUAAAUGUUGGGACCCGAAAGAUGGUGAACUAUGCCUGAAUAGGGUGAAGCCAGAGGAAACUCUGGUGGAGGCUCGCAGCGGUUCUGACGUGCAAAUCGAUCGUCAAAUUUGGGUAUAGGGGCGAAAGACUAAUCGAACCA